rnacentral:lncRNA from 1 species
AGAUCUCGUAAGGAUAUCAAAAAUAAAAUAUAACGAAAUGAGAAUUUUAUUCAAUACUUCAUUAAACCAUCCCAAAGAGCAUAUACAUAACUUAGUACAGUUGUUCAUACAGAUCGUAAUACAGUGCCAGGGAAAAAAAAACGAGGGCUCUGGAAAAAAAAAACAACAAGAAAAAACUCUUUAAAGAGUUUGUUGCAACAAAAGCCAGAGCAAACCUCUAAGAAAGAACCCAUGGCAACCUGAACAAAAUCUUGAACACGUGUACACAUCACACAGACCCUUUCGAGGAAAACCAAACAUGAACAAGACAAGCGACGCAAAGAAAACGAAACAUACCAAACAGGAGAUGAUAAACCCUAAAAUCUCGGUAAUACCCGGUAAGUAUAAUCUCAAGCAACCACACGACAUUCCGGUUUCAUGGUAAGCUAGAGUUCCCCUGAUCAAAAGGGAAACCCCUGCAAAAACAACAUUAACUGGAAAAAGAAACCGGAAGCCGAACUACUUGGAAAAAAAGGGUAAUACUGAGCAUAGCGAGAGAGAGACACGCGCCUGAAAAAGAGCUGACACUUAACUUGGAACAGUACUAAGAUACCUUCAUUAUAGGUGGAUAGAGUUGAACGUGGAAUUGGUGGAUCAGGAGAGGAUGUCACAUUUGUAAAGCCUCUCGAGUAAGAAAUCGACAGUGGAACAGGACACUGAUCGACACUGUUGGAGAUUUAACCCCAAUAAAGUCGAACCCAACUUAACGAUGGAUGGUAAGCUCUUGUCAGUGACCAUAGCGCAACCUGCCAUGGAUAGGAUCUGAAGUUUGAGUUUUUCAGAGGAAGCCAAUGCUUGAAUUCCAAAAUCAGAGACCGAGCAUUUCGAAAGAUCCAAAUCACUUAGAAUCUGGCAGUUUGCUGCAAUAGAGACUAGACUGGCGUCAGAGAUCUUGCUACAUCCAUCCAUGUUCAAGACUUCGAGAGUCAAACCGUUGCGAGCAGAGAUGGCAGAGACGACUCUGUCUGUCAAACCGGAACAGCCACUGAAGUUCACCUUCACAAGAGAGUUCUGAAGUAGAUGUAGAAAGCCAGACUCUGUUACCCCCUUGAGCCCACACAGCUCAAUAUCUUCGAGCUGAGGGCAUAGCUUCCCAAGAGCAGCAAGGUUUGCAUCUCCAAAGCCAGGGCAGUUGCGAACAGACAGAGAGCGUAGACCACUUCGAUGAGAUGAAGCAGGUAACCCCGUGGCGAGAUCUCUAAUCCCCAAACAGUUCACCAUUGAGAAAGCCUUCAGCUUUGCACCACAGUUCAAAAGAGAACCAAAAAACCCAAACUGGGUGACCCUGUGGCACUCUUCAAGCUGAAUACUCUCCAAUGACAAAGAACCCUUCGCAAAAGAGACCAAACCGUUGUCAGAUAACAACGGGGAUUUACUGAUCAACGCCUUUUUCAUGUUCGGGCAUCCCUUCCCCACAGAUUCAAGCCCCGCGUCGGUCACUCCCUGGCAGGCUGUGAUGGUUAGAGAGUUCAACUUUUGCAGUCCGAUACCAUUUCCCAUCACCCAGAAUCCCUUCUCGGUCACGUGAGACAGACCAGCGAGCACAAGUUCAGUGACCGAGAAGCCGUAAUGACCCACGACAGCAAGAGACACAUCAGUGACAUUAACCAUCUGAAGCUUAAGCUUCGUCAGCGAACACGUGGUGUUAGACAGUAGCGCGGCGAUUCCUUGAUCCCUGACCAGAGGACAGUUCUUGAUAGACACCGACUUAAGCUUGGAGCAAGACCGUGCAACAGCUUGCAGGCCUUCAUCUCCGAUGCUCGAACAAGCCUCCAGUGUAAGCUCGCUCAAGUUAGGGCAGCUCUUGGCAAUCGCCACCAAACACUUGUCGGUGAUUGCAGGGCAACGGCUCAGGUCAAGCUUCUCAAGCUGAGGGCAGCCCUCGGCGAUCUCCAAGAGACCAAUAUCAGUAACAGCAGAAAGGGAGAGCCGAGAGAAGGGCAGCUCCGACCAAUCGACCUAAGACCAAGAUCCGAAACCUUGUCGCUUCCGCGAACAGAGAGUUUUCCGAGUCCACCACGGCCAGCAGUUCCAACAGCGAUGGCAGCUAGUCUAACAUCAGUAGCCUUCUUCCCAUCUAAGCUCCUAGAUAAGCAUCCUUCAGAGUCAUCUUCGGUUUUGUGGUAGUCUAGGAGAUACUCAAUCAUAAUCUCUAGACACUUUUUUAAUCCAUAAAACUCCAUUAUCUUCUUCCAAACCAAACUGCCAUUGCCUUCUCAUAUUUCCCACCAUUUUUUCUCCUUAUCGAGGUGAUUCUGUUCCGAACCAACUUAUCUAGCUUAAUUAGCAAUCAGACAAAGAGUUGGCUUUGACGGGUCACCCACUCUUCUGACGUUCCUCUCAUGCCAUAGUGCAUAAACCACAGCUUGGAAACAAUAUCGAAAUAGGAAUGUCAAAGUUUCUCUUGUAAUCUAUUUACAUAUGAACUGCCUGAGACCAUUGAUAUAAACUCCCAUUACCCGCCAUAUCUCUAAUAAUCUCACUCCAAACUUUUUUGGAAAAAGAGCACUCAAAAACAAUGAUUUCUAGUUUUUGUUGCAGAUUUACAAAGCCAGCAAGUGGAUAUAGCCUGAGGAUUCUAUCUCAAUAUCCUAUCCCAUGUCGCUAGCUUGUUGUGCAUUGCAAUCCAAGAAAGAAAAGAAAAUUUAGGAGUGGCUUCAGGGAACCAAAUUCCUUUGAACCAUGACACUUUCGGCGACUGGACUCUUGUAAGGUUCCAUGUUUGAGAUGUAAGGAAACCAGAUUUAAAUUCUCCAUUCUCUCUUUUCCAUAGACAGACAUCCUCCAACUGAUUAAGCCAUAUGUUUCUGAGAUCCACAAUUUCCUUUUCUAUCAGCCGAAGGACAGGAACUCUGUGUGUUCUGGUCCACAUAUCUGGAUAGCUCUUUCCACCGUAUAGUUUACUUGAAUACCAAGAUCCAUGCUUCCUCUAUCCCCCGUUAGCUCAAUUAAUUUACCCAGUGGCAAUCAUUUAUCAAACCAAAAGGAUGUAAUAGAGCUGCUGUUUAUCUCCACUCUAGACAAUUGCGAAGCCAAAGGUCUCAGUUUUAAUAACUUCUUCCAUAUCCAAGACCCUAACACACUCUUCUCCUUAACACUCCAGAAAGAACCUUUCCUGAUGAGAUAUUUCCACAUCCACACUGCCCACAAAGAUGAUCUAGCAGACAGUAUGUGUCAGAUAAGCUUUAGACAUGAUACUCUGUUUGCUUCAGUUAGAUUUCUCAGACCUAAACUUCUUUCGUCUUUCGGUUUACAAACAUCUGACCAUGCUAUUUUAGCUUUCUGAGUCGACAAGACCGGGCCAGACCAGAGAAAAGCGAGCAUAUACUAUUAGCUUCAUGUAUGCACUUAUUAGGCAAUCUGUAAGCCGACAUCCAAAAAUUUGUUAUACUAUAUAUAACAGAACUAAUGAAUUGUAGCUGACCUGCAAAAGAAAAAUGCCUUGCAGUCCAGGACGCAACUCUAGCUCUUAUUCUUGAUAUGAGAGCCGUAAUCUUGGACAUUCAUUUUCUUUGUUAAUAGAGGAAGAUCGAGGUAUCUUAAGAGAUCCAGUUUCAAAAGGGAAUUGUUCCAGAAUAGCAGUGCUAUCAUCUGUUAAAAUCUAUGCGAUCACUUUAAGAGUUAUCCGUCUGUCCACUUUGUUUUUUAUUCGUUUACAUGUGCUUUGGAUUUACCUUUUCUAAAAAAUCCAUGUUAUUCAACCUCUUCUACUCUCACUUACGAUCAAGAUUGUGUGGAAGAAGACGCUCAGCUUCCAAUGAUUCCUUGUCUCCACUUUGAGGGUUCAUAAUUUGGGAACUUGGCCCACUUAAUUAAUGAUUAAGAUUAGUCAACAAAUAACAAUAAUAGCGACAACGAAUACUCUUAAUAAUGACUCGCUUUCUUACUUUAUUAUAAUCCCACUCAAAUCAUAUCGUAUCCACACAAAUAUAAUCGUUGGCCAGAUUCUUCUCAUCAACCACAUUCAUUGAACUAGACCACAUUUCGUUUUUGAAUGGGACACACACAAACGUAGAUCAAAGUCAAAAAGUCAUGUUUUCACAUACAAUCUGAUUCUCUGUCCCAUAUACAGUCUUAAAGGUGUAAUAAUUUCUCAGAUCUCGUAAGGAUAUCAAAAAUAAAAUAUAACGAAAUGAGAAUUUUAUUCAAUACUUCAUUAAACCAUCCCAAAGAGCAUAUACAUAACUUAGUACAGUUGUUCAUACAGAUCGUAAUACAGUGCCAGGGAAAAAAAAACGAGGGCUCUGGAAAAAAAAAACAACAAGAAAAAACUCUUUAAAGAGUUUGUUGCAACAAAAGCCAGAGCAAACCUCUAAGAAAGAACCCAUGGCAACCUGAACAAAAUCUUGAACACGUGUACACAUCACACAGACCCUUUCGAGGAAAACCAAACAUGAACAAGACAAGCGACGCAAAGAAAACGAAACAUACCAAACAGGAGAUGAUAAACCCUAAAAUCUCGGUAAUACCCGGUAAGUAUAAUCUCAAGCAACCACACGACAUUCCGGUUUCAUGGUAAGCUAGAGUUCCCCUGAUCAAAAGGGAAACCCCUGCAAAAACAACAUUAACUGGAAAAAGAAACCGGAAGCCGAACUACUUGGAAAAAAAGGGUAAUACUGAGCAUAGCGAGAGAGAGACACGCGCCUGAAAAAGAGCUGACACUUAACUUGGAACAGUACUAAGAUACCUUCAUUAUAGGUGGAUAGAGUUGAACGUGGAAUUGGUGGAUCAGGAGAGGAUGUCACAUUUGUAAAGCCUCUCGAGUAAGAAAUCGACAGUGGAACAGGACACUGAUCGACACUGUUGGAGAUUUAACCCCAAUAAAGUCGAACCCAACUUAACGAUGGA